rnacentral:lncRNA from 1 species
AUGUUGACCUUUUAUGACUGUUUUAUUGAUGCUGAUGUGUUAUUGUUGAAUAAUUUGUUUUAUUGUCUUGCUGUUGUUAUUAUACUGUUGUGUUUGGGCAUGGCCCCAUGUAAGCCGCCCCGAGUCCCUUUGGGAGAUGGGGCGGGGUAUAAGAAUAAAGUUGUUGUUGUUGUUGUUGUUAUUAUUAUUAUUAUUUUUAUACUCCUCCCCAUCUCCCCGAAGGGACUCAGAGCGGCUUACAUGGAGCCAUGCCCAACACAACAAUACAAUAACAGUAAUUAGACAAUAGAACAAAAUCGCAUCAAUAAAACUUCAACAUCAGUAAAACAGUCAUAAAAGUCAGCAAACAAUAUAAAAUGUUAAAAAACGGGAGGCUAAAACAUAACUGGAGGCUAAAAUUACAAUUUUAACUCUAUUGACGUCAUCUGAUGGGGCAUUGCUAAAAUGUGACCGGGCACUGGUAGGAUUGCAACUUGACCACACACUGAUACUGCUUGUUCGUAUGCAAGAAAUAUUGGCAGGUAUAUGAUGUCUUGUCUGGCAUUUGUUGCAUUUUAUUAUUGUUUAUGGUUGUAUUAUGAAUUUCCAACUCCACUGUUUUGCAGUAAUACAGAUUGCAAAUAUAGCAGAAUAGUACAAACAAAUCAUAGUUUGACCUGGCUUCCAUUACAGGAGGAAAGAUUUAUUGUUUUUAACAAAAAUCAGAGAAAGUACAGUAUUAAUAUUUCUCAGUUGCUAUGUAGGGUGAUAAAACUCUAAAAUGAUAAAGCCAUAUAAUAACUAUAUAAACCAUAUAGUUAUUAUAGACAAUAGUUAAGUGGUCAGAGAAAUCAAAGGAACCUUUCUCAUUUAUACUGUGGAGUUACAGGUAGGAAAUUCUCGAAAUGAAGACACAGUAAUGGAUGUGAUAGUGUGAGAAGGCUGGGGCAAGGAAGCAUGGUUGAGGUAGUGCACUGGAAAGUCUGUUAAUCUGGACAGGUAUCAUGAAUCACCAGAGUCCCUGGGCAUGAUUGAUGAAAGUAAGGAUGUCUUCGUAUUCAAAGAAAAGGUUCAGCAGACAGUCUCAGUGAAACGGGGCUUGGAUUUGUCUUGCUUUUGUUGGUUGCGGCUUGCAUUUGUAGGAGUGAUCAGAAUGCAAUUGGGGUUCUAUGUGAUUUGACAGGAGUGGGUAUAUUUUCCAAGUUUCACAACCUGAUGAUUUCUACAGAACAGUCACAUUCAGUUCAAAUAAAUGAUUAUGGCAGUGGGUACUAUUGCAGCACUUUAAUAGGUUUUGCCCUUUGUAGACACAUAUUAUGAAUAGGGUGUACAUGUGUCUUAUGACACAGUUCACUGUUUGAAAGGCUUUUUGAGCAUCUCCUCUAUUUGAAGGAUUAUCCUGUCCUAUUGAAAAGUAAAGGACCCUAUGAAAGGACAGUGGGGAUCUUGAAGUUUCUGACAACAGUUAGCCACCCAACUGACUGAGCAGACACAGAGAUCACAGUCUUUCAUACUUUGGUGAGAUAGACUGUAUUUUUUGUAAAUGAUGGCAUUUUUUUUUAAAAAAAAGAAUCACCUAUCUACAUGCAAAUUGGUUAUUGUAUGUUUUUAUUGUAUUUUAUAUGCCUUUAAUGUUAUAUGUUUAUAUGUUUUAAAUGUACCUUGUUGUUUUAUUUUGUGGUGCAUUAGUCCCCAUGUGAGCUGUCCCAAGUCCCUUUGGGGAGAUGGGGCGGGAUACAAGAAUAGAGUUGUUGUUGUUGUUGUUGUUAUUAUUAAUAAUAAUAAUAAUAAUAAUAUUGUAUGACACAGCAAACAAGAUAGAUAUGCUGGAUUUCGUAUCACAAAAUCACAAGUCAAACACUUCCCAAGUGUCUAGGACUGUGUGAUGUAUUUUCGGAUGAUGCGUGCAGAUCCCAGUAGGGUAGCCUUUUGCAGUUGACAGAUCGUAAUUUUGUCAAUGUCUAUUGUUUCCAAAUACCGGCUGAGAUCUUUUGGCACGGCUCCCAAUGUGCCCAUAACCACCGGGGCCACCUGCACUGGUUUCUGCCAGAGUCUUUGAAGUUCAAUCUUGAGGUCCUGAUAGCGGCUGAGUUUUUCCUGUUGUUUUUCGUCAAUGUGACUGUCACCUGGGAUGGCAACAUCAAUGAUCCAAACCUUUUUCUUCUCCACAACUGUGAUGUCUGGUGUGUUGUGUUCCAGAACUUUGUCAGUCUGGAUUCGGAAGUCCCACAGUAUCUUUGCGUGCUCAUUUUCCAAUACUUUUGCAGGUUUGUGAUCCCACCAGUUCUUUGCUGCUGGGAGGUGGUAUUAUUAUUAUUAUUAAUAUUAUUAUUAUUAUUAUUAUUAUUAUUAUUAUUAUUAUUAUUAUUAUCAUUAUCAUUUAUUUGCUGCUGGGAGGUGGUACUUGAGGCAUAAGUUCCAAUUAAUCAUUUGGGCCACAUAGUUGUGCCUCUGUUUGUAGUCUGUCUGUGCGAUUUUCUUAC